UACAACUUCUGGCUUUUGACCCAUGGCGGGGACGCACCAGCAACACCUUGUUCUAACAAUAUGUUCAUAACUGGUACCAAAUGCAAUUGGACCUUUUAGCAGUCGCAAUCACCGACGUGCCCACUCAAAAUUACUUUUACCUCAACUUACCCAGUUCAUACCGACCCAUUCGAAUCAACACAAGCACUCAAAUCUCUUUUGACAAGAAUAACUGCAACUGAAGCUUUCUGUACAGGUGUUGGUUUUAUGUAGCCAGAAUUCUUAAUGUUUUGAAGUAGUAGUGGGCGCAGGCCGGCUUCUUCGAGUGAUGUUAUGU